UACGUAGGGUGCGAGCGUUGUCCGGAAUUACUGGGCGUAAAGAGCUCGUAGGUGGUUUGUCGCGUUGUCCGUGAAAACUCACAGCUCAACUGUGGGCGUGCGGGCGAUACGGGCAGACUGGAGUACUGCAGGGGAGACUGGAAUUCCUGGUGUAGCGGUGGAAUGCGCAGAUAUCAGGAGGAACACCGGUGGCGAAGGCGGGUCUCUGGGCAUGUCCUGACGCUGAGGAGCGAAAGUGUGGGGAGUGAACAGG
rnacentral:rRNA from 1 species